rnacentral:rRNA from 2 species
UAGGGAAUAUUCCGCAAUGGGCGAAAGCCUGACGGAGCAACGCCGCGUGAAGGAUGAAGGCUUUCGGGUUGUAAACUUCUUUGAUCGGGGACGAAGAUGACGGUACCCGAGGAACAAGCCACGGCUAACUACGUGCCAGCAGCCGCGGUAAUACGUAGGUGGCAAGCGUUGUCCGGAAUUACUGGGUGUAAAGGGCGUGUAGGCGGGGCGGCAAGUCAGAUGUGAAAUACCGUGGCUUAACUGCGGGGGUGCAUCUGAAACUGUCGUUCUUGGGUGUCGGAGAGGAAAGUGGAAUUCCCAGUGUAGCGGUGAAAUGCGUAGAGAUUGGGAGGAACACCAGUGGCGAAGGCGGCUUUCUGGACGAUAACUGACGCUGAGGCGCGAAAGCGUGGGUAGCAAACAGG